rnacentral:lncRNA from 10 species
CUUCAUUCACACCUCUAGAAUGGAAGCCAAGUCAGCUCUUCAGAAAAUGACAGACAUGUCCCCCAGUGUCAUGAUGCUGUGUAAGUCUCCCCUGGACCAACAAGCUCCCCUGGAAGUAAAGGCGAAGGAAAAAUGGGAGGGGCAGCAAUACUUAAACUGAGAUGAGCAAGGGAGGCAGCAACAGUCUGGAGAAACCAGCCAUGGUGUUGGAACCAGAAGAUGAUUAGGUAAAGGGGCUUUCCAAACCAGAACAAAUGGGUGGAAUAUAUAAACAUGUUUUGGAUCAAAAAAAAAAUACUAGACUUCCUAAAAUAAAACAGGAUGACAGCCCUAACUAAUCUUAUUUGUUAAAGGAAGUGUGAUCCUUGAAAGCUGAAGAAAUUGCAAAUGUUUGGGUGAUAGUUACAAGGAAUACAGACACACUGGGCAAACAUGAAAUACUAGGAGUCUGCGGUAUUUGGCCUGUAAUGGUGGGUCCCUUCUCCCUGUAUCUGUUAUUUUUCUCUGCCAGAGAAGUUGCUGGCAUUGGUGUUACUGGGGUCCCAGUUACUUUCUACUACAUAGCUACGAGGGGAGGGAUGAGGAAAACUUGGGGAACUUGCCAUCCAGGACCACAGUCUUGGUAUCUUCUGCAUGCUUCCCUUGGAUAAUUAAUACUUCUCAGCAAUUUUCAUUGACUGUGCUUCUAUUUAAAGUUAACCCUUUCCUCUCCUCCCACUAACUGAAUGAUCUCCAUUCUCC